CCUACGGGUGGCAGCAGUGGGGGAUAUUGCACAAUGGGCGAAAGCCUGAUGCAGCGACGCCGCGUGAGGGAAGACGGUCUUAGGAUUGUAAAGCUCUGUCUUUGGGGGAGAAAAUGACGGUACCCAAAGAGGAAGCUCCGGCUAACUACGUGCCAGCAGCCGCGGUAAUACGUAGGGCGCAAGCGUUGUCCGGAAUUAUUGGGUGUAAAGGGAGCGUAGGCGGGAUGGCAAGUAGAAUGUUAAAUCCAGCGGCUCAACCGGUGGCUGCGUUUGAAACUGGCGUUCUUGAGUGAAGUAGAGGCAGGCGGAAUGCCUAGUGUAGCGGUGAAAUGCGUAGAUAUUAGGAAGAACACCAGUGGCGAAGGCGGCCUGCUGGGCUUCAACUGACGCUGAGGCUCGAAAGCGUGGGUAGCGAACAGGAUUAGAUACCCUGGUAGUC
rnacentral:rRNA from 1 species